rnacentral:rRNA from 1 species
AUUGAACGCUGGCGGCAGGCCUAACACAUGCAAGUCGAACGAGUGGCGGACGGGUGAGUAAUGUCUGGGAAACUGCUUGAUGGAGGGGGAUAACUAUGGGAAACGGUCGCUAAUACCGCAUACCAUCGGAUGUGCCCAGAUUGGAGUAGCGAGUAGGGGGGGUAAAGGCUCACCGAGGCGACGAUCCCUAGCUGGUCUGAGAGGAUGACCAGCCACACUGGAACUGAGACACGGUACAGACUCCUACGGGAGGCAGCAGUGGGGAAUAUUGCACAAUGGGCGCAAGCCUGAUGCAGCCAUGCCGCGUGUAUGAAGAAGGCCUUCGGGUUGUAAAGUACUUUCAGCGGGGAGGCGUUACCCGCAGAAGAAGCACCGGCUAACUCCGUGCCAGCAGCCGCGGUAAUUC